GGAGGUGAUCCAGCCACACUGGAACUGAGACACGGUCCAGACUCCUACGGGAGGCAGCAGUGGGGAAUAUUGCACAAUGGGCGCAAGCCUGAUGCAGCCAUGCCGCGUGUAUGAAGAAGGCCUUCGGGUUGUAAAGUACUUUCAGCGGGGAGGAAGGGAGUAAAGUUAAUACCUUGCUCAUGAC
rnacentral:rRNA from 1 species